UCCCUGGCAGUCCAGUGGUUAGGACGUGGCACUUUCACUGCCAGGGCCUAGGUUUGAUUCCUGAUCAGGGAA
rnacentral:tRNA from 1 species